UACGAAGGUCCCAAGCGUUAUCCGGAUUUAUUGGGUUUAAAGGGUGCGUAGGCGGACUAUUAAGUCAGUGGUGAAAGCCCCAAGCCUAACUUGGGAACUGCCAUUGAUACUGAUGGUCUUGAGUACAUUUGAGGUGGGCGGAAUGUGUCAUGUAGCGGUGAAAUGCUUAGAUAUGACACAGAACACCGAUUGCGAAGGCAGCUCACUAAACUGUAACUGACGCUGAGGCACGAAAGCGUGGGGAGCGAACAGG
rnacentral:rRNA from 1 species